AACUACUGGAAACGGUAGCUAAUACCGCAUAAUGUCGCAAGACCAAAGAGGGGGACCUUCGGGCCUCUUGCCAUCAGAUGUGCCCAGAUGGGAUUAGCUAGUAGGUGGGGUAAUGGCUCACCUAGGCGACGAUCCCUAGCUGGUCUGAGAGGAUGACCAGCCACACUGGAACUGAGACACGGUCCAGACUCCUACGGGAGGCAGCAGUGGGGAAUAUUGCACAAUGGGCGCAAGCCUGAUGCAGCCAUGCCGCGUGUAUGAAGAAGGCCUUCGGGUUGUAAAGUACUUUCAGCGGGGAGGAAGGUGUUGAGGUUAAUAACCUCGGCAAUUGACGUUACCCGCAGAAGAAGCACCGGCUAACUCCGUGCCAGCAGCCGCGGUAAUACGGAGGGUGCAAGCGUUAAUCGGAAUUACUGGGCGUAAAGCGCACGCAGGCGGUCUGUCAAGUCGGAUGUGAAAUCCCCGGGCUCAACCUGGGAACUGCAUUCGAAACUGGCAGGCUAGAGUCUUGUAGAGGGGGGUAGAAUUCCAGGUGUAGCGGUGAAAUGCGUAGAGAUCUGGAGGAAUACCGGUGGCGAAGGCGGCCCCCUGGACAAAGACUGACGCUCAGGUGCGAAAGCGUGGGGAGCAAACAGGAU
rnacentral:rRNA from 1 species